GAUGAACGCUGGCGGCGUGCCUAAUACAUGCAAGUCGAGCGAACGGACGAGAAGCUUGCUUCUCUGAUGUUAGCGGCGGACGGGUGAGUAACACGUGGAUAACCUACCUAUAAGACUGGGAUAACUUCGGGAAACCGGAGCUAAUACCGGAUAAUAUUUUGAACCGCAUGGUUCAAAAGUAAAAGACGGUCUUGCUGUCACUUAUAGAUGGAUCCGCGCUGCAUUAGCUAGUUGGUAAGGUAACGGCUUACCAAGGCAACGAUGCAUAGCCGACCUGAGAGGGUGAUCGGCCACACUGGAACUGAGACACGGUCCAGACUCCUACGGGAGGCAGCAGUAGGGAAUCUUCCGCAAUGGGCGAAAGCCUGACGGAGCAACGCCGCGUGAGUGAUGAAGGUCUUCGGAUCGUAAAACUCUGUUAUUAGGGAAGAACAUAUGCGUAAGUAACUGUGCACAUCUUGACGGUACCUAAUCAGAAAGCCACGGCUAACUACGUG
rnacentral:rRNA from 1 species